rnacentral:rRNA from 1 species
UCCUGGCUUAGGAUGAACGCUGGCGGCGUAGCCUAACACAUGCAAGUCGAACGGAGUUAUAUACGGAAGUUUCGGAUGGAAGAUAUGUAACUAGUGGCGGACGGGUGAGUAACGCGUGGGCAACCUGCCCUGUACCGGGGGAUAACACUUAGAAAUAGGUGCUAAUACCGCAUAAGCGCACAGCUUCGCAUGAAGCAGUGUGAAAAACUCCGGUGGUACAGGAUGGACCCGCGUCUGAUUAGCUAGUUGGUGGGGUAGAGGCCCACCAAGGCGACGAUCAGUAGCCGGCCUGAGAGGGUGACCGGCCACAUUGGGACUGAGACACGGCCCAAACUCCUACGGGAGGCAGCAGUGGGGAAUAUUGCACAAUGGGGGAAACCCUGAUGCAAGCGACGCCGCGUGAGUGAAGAAGUAUUUCGGUACGUAAAGCUCUAUCAGCAGGGAAGAAAAUGACGGUACCUGACUAAGAAGCCCCGGCUAACUACGUGCCAGCAGCUGC